GGGCCCGUAGCUCAGUGGCAGAGCAAGCGCCUUAAAAGCGCAUAUCACGCCGGUUCGAAUCCGGUCGGGUCCACCC
rnacentral:tRNA from 1 species